rnacentral:lncRNA from 1 species
ACUCUUCUCCCUGUAUUUCUUUUUUUGUAGGAACUGCCUUAGCUGUCACAGGAAUGAGACCCCAAGUCAACCAGUUUGCACUAUGGGAUCCUGCCUGCUGGGCCAACUUGACUGGGAUUAAGGUUGACUGGGGAACCAAGGUCAUUGAGGUCUCUUAUGGCCCCAGGCUGGCAGAAGCUCCAUCUCAAUCCACACUUUCAUCAUCAUACAGUUUGGCAAGACAAAGUAUGGGCUGAAUAUAUAAUUUGAACAUAUAAUUAUUUCUUGAUAACUACAAAGCAAGUGCUGGAGGACUUCCAGAAUCCUUUGGUAUUGGAUGUACCUAGACAAAUGGUAUACUCAUGUGUAACACAGGUAAAGAAGAAAAACCAAUCCCAAGAGAAACUCUGUAGCGUAAGGCUUCUGUUCAGUGUGUGGCGAGUGGUACUGUGCUGCUAAGGACACUGUGCUAGAAUGAACAUUGUCUGGGUUCCAAUUGAGGUCUUUCACGCAUCAGCUGUGUGGCCUCAGAUGAGCCAUUUCAUAUCUCCGGCAUCCUCCUCUAUGAAAUGGGUGUAAUAAUAUCUGACCUACCUACUGCGUGGCAAUCUUGGAUCUAAACAGCCUUGGAUCUGUAGAACCAUUUUUAUAGAGCACUUUGCCUUAUUUGUACACAGUACAUUUGUACUUCUCAUUUCAUCUUUUAUCUGAUGCAAUCACCGAAUAACCCAGUGAGGUAGGAAAGCGCAGUUAUUAUCUUCAUGGUACAGAUGACUAAACUGUGAGCUCUGUAACAGCGUGUU